UUCUUCGUGGUCCAGCGGUUAGGAUUUCACACUCUCACUGUGAAGGCCAGGGUUCGACUCCCUGCGAGGAAG
rnacentral:tRNA from 1 species